rnacentral:rRNA from 1 species
UACGUAGGGGGCGAGCGUUGUCCGGAUUUAUUGGGCGUAAAGAGCUCGUAGGCGGUUCGAUAAGUCGGAUGUGAAAUCUCCACGCUCAACGUGGAGAGGCCAUUCGAUACUGUCGUGACUCGAGUCCGGUAGGGGAGUGUGGAAUUCCCGGUGUAGCGGUGAAAUGCGCAGAGAUCGGGAGGAACACCCGUAGCGAAGGCGGCACUCUGGGCCGGUACUGACGCUGAUGCGCGAAAGCGUGGGGAGCGAUCCGG